AUAAAAACAAAAGAGAAAAUGUAAGGGAGCCUUUUAUGUAGUAUACUGAAACUUGGUUUAAUAGACCUAAGUGUCACGGUUCGGAAGAAGGAAAUAAUAGAAGAAAAAAGAAAAUUUAUGCCCGAUGGACGAGUUUGGAAGAAGGGAAAUUUUUUUCUCUCUGUCUCUCUCUUUCUCUCGCGAUAGAAGUACGGAAUCGACAAAGGAAGAAGAUGGAAGCGAAGAAUAUGGAAUCAGAGGAGGUUGGGGUCGGAGGUGAUGCGUAUCGGAGGAGAUCGAAUCGACGGAGGAGAUUUCGCGAUUAGAUUCCUGGAUUGGUGAAUGACGAUUUUACUGAUGUGAGAGCUAUAAUGGCGAAUGCGGGUUCUUCAUUGAUGGGAAUAGCAACUGCGACAGGAAAGAGUCGGGCAAGAGAUGCUGCACUAAAUGCGAUCCAAUCACCUUUGUUAGAUAUUGGCAUUGAGAGAGCCACGAGUUUAGAUCCAGGGGACUCUAUUAUUAUCGCUAAAGCUUUCUCUCACAUGCUUAACUUAGCCAAUUUGGAUGAGGAAGUUCAGAUUGCUUAUCGCCGUAGGGUCAAGAAGCUGCAGAAAGGUGAUUUUGUUGAUGAGAGCUCUGCUACUACUGAAUCUGAUCUUGAUUCAAUUCUCUUCCUGGAUGGGUGGUGAUCGUCAUGCUAGAAUGAUGGCUUCUACUAUGUACUUUAACCAAAUUGAAGAUCUUAUGUUUGAGAUAUCUAUGUGGCGUUGCAAUGACGAGCUGCGUGUGCGAGCUGAUGAACUCUAAUCCGCCACAACUCAUCACUUGCCACACUUGCGCAAAAUGAGUUAUAAGUUUAAGCUGAUUCACAUUUUUUUUUUUUUGACAAUAGCUGAUUCACAUUUUAUUUGCGUAGAAUAGCACAGAAACAAGCGUAAACUGAAUAGAAUGAACCUCCCAUUGUGUAUGCCCUUAAAACUAAAUAAAAAGGAAGGAUCUUGGGAAUGUUA